GACGAACGCUGGCGGCGUGCCUAAUACAUGCAAGUUGAGCGAUGAAGAUUGGUGCUUGCACCAAUUUGAAGAGCAGCGAACGGGUGAGUAACGCGUGGGGAAUCUGCCUUUGAGCGGGGGACAACAUUUGGAAACGAAUGCUAAUACCGCAUAACAACUUUAAACAUAAGUUUUAAGUUUGAAAGAUGCAAUUGCAUCACUCAAAGAUGAUCCCGCGUUGUAUUAGCUAGUUGGUGAGGUAAAGGCUCACCAAGGCGAUGAUACAUAGCCGACCUGAGAGGGUGAUCGGCCAAAUUGGGACUGAGACACGGCCCAAACGCCUACGGGAGGCAGCAGUAGGGAAUCUUCGGCAAUGGACGAAAGUCUGACCGAGAAACGCCGCGUGAGUGAAGAAGGUUUUCGGAUCGUAAAACUCUGUUGGUAGAGAAGAACGUUGGUGAGAGUGGAAAGCUCAUCAAGUGACGGUAACUACACAGAAAGGGACGGCUAACUACGUG
rnacentral:rRNA from 1 species